UUUCUCUCAUUCUCAGAAACUGUCCCCAAUCCUAAAGAGUCGCAGCCGCACUUCUGCUAGGGUUUACCUCUUCACCAUUCCAAGUUCGAUCAAGCUAUUCUCACUCCACCUCGCAAGUCCCCUCCUUGAGCUGUCGUGCUCCGUUGGUUAGAGUCGAGGCACCUUCUAGCUACUUCCAGAUGGACGAGAUUUCCGAGGUCAGCAAGGAAAUGGAGAUUCCACUGCUUAGCCAUCUAGGCUGGACUUUAUGCUUCUUUGUUUCGUGGGUUUUCUUUAGGGCUACGGCCCAUGUAUUUUUCUAUGCCUUACUGUUCUAUUCUCUUUGGUUAGACCUUUUAUCUGGUAUGCCCAGUUAGUAGGGGUUGUGUUAAGGAUCCCAAGACUACUCUACUAUACUU